GCAGUGAUGGGUCAGUGGUGGAGUUCCUGCUUUUCAUGCAGGAGACCCAGGUUCGAUUCCCAGCCAAUGCA
rnacentral:tRNA from 1 species